GACGAACCGAGCGAACGUUGUUCGGAAUCACUGGGCUUAAAGGGCGCGUAGGCGGGCUGUCAAGUCUGGGGUGAAAUCCCGCGGCUCAACCGUGGAACUGCCUCAGAUACUGACGGUCUCGAGGGAGGUAGGGGCGAGCGGAACUGAUGGUGGAGCGGUGAAAUGCGUUGAUAUCAUCAGGAACUCCGGUGGCGAAGGCGCUCGACUGGACCUCUUCUGACGCUGAGGCGCGAAAGCUAGGGGAGCAAACGGG
rnacentral:rRNA from 1 species